GUGAAAGCGAGCGGCCGCCCUCGCUCUCGUAGCCUGACGUCUCUUCCUCCUCCGUGCUGCUGCUGAAACCAGGCUCUGAUGCUGUGAGGGCACAUAAAGACAGAUAAAUAAAGAUUCAAACAUGAAGUCAGAAGCCAGGCAGGCUCUCAGAAGCGGUGCCAGAGGUGUUCGAGACGUCAUGACCGGGAGAGACCCAAGAGUUUGAGGGAAGUGUGGAUGCCGAGGCCUGGCUGCUUUGAGAAAGCCACUCGAUGGAAAAAUGCCCUUUCAUCUUACAGAAUGUGUCCAAAUCCAGCAAAGAAAGACCGAUAUCCAAUAUAAACAGUGCAGUUGUGCAGUUCUUCUGCUUUGAGGGAAUGUCCAUGAAAGUCACUAAUCCGGUUAAUCCCAUCAGUUUGAUUGCAACACAUCCAGUAAUCCCUCACUGACUCCAAUCAGAGUAAUCAACCUCAAAGAACGACCCGAGGAACCGGCCCGGACGGAAAAGCCGGUCUGCGAUCACGGCGGGAACUCAGACCGUCGAUAAGAGCCCCGGAGCCCCGUCUCCAGAGCCGAGGCCAGAGGUGUCCCGGGACGCUCCAGCGGCCCAUUCAGAGCACUUUUGUUUCACACCUGGAAGCGGGGAGGGGAAGUGUGAAGGAGGCAUUAAGCCCUAUUGAGCAUAACUGCCGAAACCCGCCCGCCCCGUCUCUUACGACGCUCAUCAUUGAGGAGCCGGGGCCAGAUCAGCAUGUUUGUGAAUGCUUUCAAAUCACGGACGCUUGACUGAAAGGAGCGUCCUCGCGGAGAAAGACGAGGGAGGAGGGAACGCUGCAUUUGGGCCUUUCCUUUUCCUGUUAAGAGUGUAAUGUAAAGGCUGACGGGAGGUGUGAACGUAGACCUGCCCUUUGAAGUUAAAAUGACAUUUAGAGGUCAAUUAUGUUGUUAGCAGAAGGUGUCCCCCGGUUUCAAACCGCCAUAAAAUACAACUCAAAGGUAGAUAAAAUGAGACGCGGCCGUUUAUGUCCUGUCAAACCUGAAAACGCGCCACUUAAAGAGGCUGCAAACCGGAGAUAAAACAAUAUAGGGUUUCUCACUGUUCACUAGUGUACUAUAGACUUCUGUGACAGAAUAUCAGAACAAACUAUCA